UGGUGGCUUGAUCCCACCUCCCGCCCCUGGGGGAGCAGUGCAGUGGCCCCUGUGAGGUCCUGGCAGAGGACUGUGUGUCUCCUCUGCCCACUGAGCACCGGCUGCUGUCACAUCCAGCAGGACCUGAGUCUCGUGCAGCCUCACCUUGAGGCCUCUGUCUUUUCCCGAAGUCCCAUAGAUUACAUCUCCUUAUCCGCUGUGAGGAUUUCUCCUUGUUCUGGUCUGGUUUCUAAAGAACAAUUCUCUGUGCUUAUGCAACUUCUGUUUCUGGGGGCAGAGCUUGCUGCAAAAGGCAAAGAACCCGGUCCAUUUACCCUGGGCCUGGACCAAGAAUUAACCUGGUGCAGUGUGCUGGUCCAUGAGCUUCCAGCUCAGCCCUCUGGAGACCUAGCUCCAGGGCUUGGCCUGUACCGCACUGCCCCCAGCAACUGAAUACGUGACUGAAUCAGUGAGCACGUGGAUACAUGACAGCCAGAUGGGGAGGACAGGACUGCCUCUCAGCCACCUGCUCUCAGGCCACUGCAAUGUGAUCCCACAGCCCAUGGUGAGUCUCAGAGCAAGCAAGGUCCUCAGAUGCACUGGACUCUAAGUCUGCUUUCCAGAAGAGGGAACACUGGUGAGUUUUAUUUUUGUUUCCUU
rnacentral:lncRNA from 1 species